GAUGAACGCUGGCGGCGUGCCUAAUACAUGCAAGUCGAGCGGUAAGGCCACUUCGGUGGUACACGAGCGGCGGACGGCUGAGUAACACGUAGGAACAUACCCCAAACUGAGGGAUAACUGCCCGAAAGGGUAGCUAAUACCGCCUGUGCUCUUCGGAGUAAAGCUACGGCGGUUUGGGAAUGGCCUGCGUCCGAUUAGCUAGUUGGUGAGGUAAUUGCUCACCAAGGCGACGAUCGGUAGCUGGUCUGAGAGGAUGAUCAGCCAGACUGGGACUGAGAACGGCCCAGACUCCUACGGGAGGCAGCAGUAGGGAAUUUUCCACAAUGGACGAAAGUCUGAUGGAGCAACGCCGCGUGCAGGAUGAAGGCUUUCGGGUCGUAAACUGCUUUUAUCUGUGAAGAUUAUGACGGUAGCAGAUGAAUAAGGAUCGGCUAACUCCGUGCCAGCAGCCGCCGUAA
rnacentral:rRNA from 1 species